rnacentral:rRNA from 1 species
UACGUAGGGACCGAGCGUUGUCCGGAAUCAUUGGGCGUAAAGCGCGCGUAGGCGGCCCGAUAAGUCCGCUGUGAAAGUCAACGGCUCAACUGUUGGAUGCCGGUGGAUACUGUCGGGCUAGAGUACGGAAGAGGCAAGUGGAAUUCCUGGUGUAGCGGUGGAAUGCGCAGAUAUCAGGAGGAACACCUAUAGCGAAGGCAGCUUGCUGGGACGUUACUGACGCUAAGGCGCGAAAGCGUGGGGAGCGAACAGG